AAGAAAUUUUAGAAUCUUUAAAACAAGCAUUAAAUGAAAACCUUGAUAAAAAAAUAAGGACGUCACGCUACGAAAGUUAUGAGUAAGCAUAGGCUUGUGAUCCGUAAAUUUCCUAAGAGUAAACUCAGCUUAAUUUUUACAUAUAGUAACGAGAAUUGAAUCAUCUUAGUAUCGUUAAUAAAAAUCAAACGAGAAAUUGUAAGUAAUGGUGAAUGAAAGCAAAAAGGCUAUUAUAUUAAAAUUCAGUUAAAAAAUUAUUUAUUGCUUUGGAAGGUAUAAGCCCUGUAUUAAACUGAAAUAAUAUAACAAAACUAAGUAGUACGAAAAGUUAUCUUGUAUGAACAAAGGAGAUCCACCUUCUAAGCCAACCAAAUUUUUUUAAUCAAUAGUAAACGAGUACUGUAAAGAAAAGGUGAAAAAUUCCGUAAGGAUAAAUUGAAAUUAAAUGCUUAUAACAACUCGAAAUUAUUAAAAAUAACGAAAUGCCUUUUGCAUAAUGAGUCAGUAAGUUAAUAAAUAUAGCAAGUUCAAAUAUUAAUAUCGAAACGAUUAAAAGUAAUAUUUAUUAAACCUGAAACCAAGUGAUCUAUUCAUCAGCAAGCUGAAAAUUCAUUAACAUGUUUUUUAGGGCUGAACUCACACAUGUAGCAAAAUGUGGAGAUGACUGAUGAAUAGGAGCGAAAGACUAAUCAAACUUGGAGAUAGCCGGUUUUUCACGAAAUGUAUUUUAGUACAUCAUUAACUAAUUCAAGAUUAAAUUUUAGAUAGAGUACACAAUAAGCAAAGGGGUGUAACGACUUACUGAGUUUAAUCUAACUCCCAAUUAUAAUUUAAUAAAGUUAAUAGACAGUCUUUGAGCGAAAAGGUCCAUAGACAAGAGGAAAACAAUCCGAAUCACAUACUAAGAUCUUGAAAUUGUAACUUAGUGAAAAAGCUUUAAAAAGAAUCAAAUAUUAAUGUGGAUAGGCUUAGAAGCAGUCUUUCAUUAGAGAUAGCGUUUUAGCUCAUUAUUUUUUUCUUUGUUAAAGUUAAAAUUUAAGAAGACUUUAGUUAUAUAUCGAAGUAGUGGAUUACAUUGUAAUGGUAGUGAAACGUUCUGUAAUCUUUUUAUUUUUUGAAAAAUAAAUAAAUUAAUUCAGAAGUGCUAAUGCUGACAUGAGUAGCGAAAACUAUGUUAACAAAUCAUAGUCGCUUUAAGUUUAAGGGUUUCAACGUAAUUUCAAAUUCGUUGAGUUAGUCGGUCCUUAAGAGGUGAAUGAAAGUUGUACUUGACAGGAAUUAUUAAUAAACCAGUUAUAUGUAUUAAAUUAUGAAAAAAAAUUAAUUAAUAAAACUUUUUAAAUUUUUUGUGGAAAAAAAUCAAACUUAAUUUUUCAAGAAAAAAUUAUAACAAAUUAAGACCGUACUUAAACCGACACUGGUAAAUUUAUCGAAGAGAUUAAAGUGAAUGAAAAAAUCAUAUUAAAGGAAUUC
rnacentral:rRNA from 1 species